rnacentral:rRNA from 1 species
CAAUAGCGUAUAUUAAAGUUGUUGCGGUUAAAAAGCUCGUAGUUGGAUUUCUGUUGAGGACGGCCGGUCCGCACUAUGUGCGUGUAUCUGGUUCGGCCUUGGCAUCCUUCUGGGGAACGGUGCUGCGCUUGAUUGCGUGGUCCGGUAUUCAGAACUUUUACUUUGAGGAAAUUAGAGUGUUUACGGCAGGCAUACGCCUUGAAUACAUUAGCAUGGAAUAAUACUAUAGGACCUUGGUUCUAUUUUGUUGGUUUCUAGAACUAAGGUAAUGAUUAAUAGGGAUAAUUGGGGGCGAUUCGUAUUAACACGUCAGAGGUGAAAUUCUUGGAUUGUGUUACGACGAACUACUGCGAAAGCAUUUGCCAAGGAUGUUUUCAUUGAUCAAGAACGAAAGUGCGGGGAUCGAAGACGAUUAGAU